CAGGCCUAACACAUGCAAGUCGAGGGGCAUCACGGGGUUGGCUUGCCAUCCCUGGUGGCGACCGGCGCACGGGUGAGUAACGCGUAUCCAACCUGCCCCGAACCGCGGUAUAGCCCGCCGAAAGGCGGAUUAAUCCCGCAUGUGGUCGUGAGAUGGCAUCUGACCACGACUAAAGGUAUUUUCCGGUUCGGGAUGGGGAUGCGUCCGAUUAGGCAGCAGGCGGGGUAACGGCCCACCUGGCCAUCGAUCGGUAGGGGUUCUGAGAGGAAGGUCCCCCACAUUGGAACUGAGACACGGUCCAAACUCCUACGGGAGGCAGCAGUGAGGAAUAUUGGUCAAUGGGCGGUAGCCUGAACCAGCCAAGUAGCGUGUGGGACGACGGCCCUACGGGUUGUAAACCACUUUUUCGCGGGGAUAACAUCCGGGACUAGUCCCGGCUUGCAGGUACCGCGUGAAUAAGGACCGGCUAAUUCCGUGCCAGCAGCCGCGGUAAUACGGAAGGUCCGGGCGUUAUCCGGAUUUAUUGGGUUUAAAGGGAGCGCAGGCCGGGUGCUAAGCGUGCCGUGAAAUGCCGCGGCUCAACCGUGGCAGUGCAGCGCGAACUGGCUCUCUUGAGUGUGCGGUAGGAAGGCGGAAUUCGUGGUGUAGCGGUGAAAUGCUUAGAUAUCACGAAGAACCCCGAUUGCGAAGGCAGCUUUCCGCAGCACUACUGACGCUGAGGCUCGAAGGUGCGGGUAUCGAACAGGAUUAGAUACCCUGGUAGUCCGCACGGUAAACGAUGGAUGCCCGCUGUGCGCCUUUUCUGGUGCGCGGCCAAGCGAAAGCGUUAAGCAUCCCACCUGGGGAGUACGCCGGCAACGGUGAAACUCAAAGGAAUUGACGGGGGCCCGCACAAGCGGAGGAACAUGUGGUUUAAUUCGAUGAUACGCGAGGAACCUUACCCGGGCUUGAAUUGCAGACGACGUGGCUGGAGACAGCCAUUCCCCUCGGGGUGUCUGUGAAGGUGCUGCAUGGUUGUCGUCAGCUCGUGCCGUGAGGUGUCGGCUCAAGUGCCAUAACGAGCGCAACCCUUGCCGUCAGUUACCAUCAGGUUAAGCUGGGGACUCUGGCGGGACUGCCACCGCAAGGUGUGAGGAAGGGGGGGAUGACGUCAAAUCAGCACGGCCCUUACGUCCGGGGCGACACACGUGUUACAAUGGCGGCCACAGAGGGGCACUACCUGGCGACAGGAUGGGAAUCUCGAAAAGCCGUCUCAGUCCGGAUCGGAGUCCGCAACCCGACUCCGUGAAGCUGGAUUCGCUAGUAAUCGCGCAUCAGCCAUGGCGCGGUGAAUACGUUCCCGG
rnacentral:rRNA from 1 species